UACAGGGGGUGCAAACGUUGCUCGGAAUCAUUGGGCGUAAAGCGCACGUAGGCGGUCUGUUAUGUCGGAUGUGAAAGCCCUUGGCUCAACUGAGGAAGUGCAUCCGAAACUGGCAGGCUAGAGUACUAAAGAGGAUCGCGGAAUUCCCGGUGUAGAGGUGAAAUUCGUAGAUAUCGGGAGGAACACCGGUGGCGAAGGCGGCGAUCUGGGUAGAUACUGACGCUGAGGUGCGAAAAGCGUGGGGGAGCAAACAGG
rnacentral:rRNA from 1 species